CAGUAGCCACGGUAAUACGAAGGGUGCAAGCGUUAAUCGGAAUUACUGGGCGUAAAGCGUGCGUAGGCGGUUUGUUAAGUCUGCUGUGAAAUCCCCGGGCUCAACCUGGGAAUGGCAGUGGAUACUGGCAAGCUAGAGUGUGUCAGAGGGUGGUGGAAUUCCCGGUGUAGCGGUGAAAUGCGUAGAGAUCGGGAGGAACAUCAGUGGCGAAGGCGGCCAUCUGGGACAACACUGACGCUGAGGCACGAAAGCGUGGGGAGCAAACAGGAUUAGAUACCCCUGUAGUCCCUGUCUCUUAUAC
rnacentral:rRNA from 1 species